rnacentral:rRNA from 1 species
AUGAUUUGGAUUCAACUAGAACAUCCUAAGCACCUCACUACAAUAUUCAGAAACCUGACCGAGGUGUAUCUUUACUGUAUCUUUCCUGAGUGCGAUCUGAACUGGACCAUGUUUCUCGUCGAAGCUGCACCUACCCUACUGAAUUUUACAUUGCUUCGAAAUCAACAUCCAUGUGUCAAACCGUCUGAGUAUAGUUCCCAGAAGACCAACAUGUUGUGGGAACCAUCCAAGGAUUGGAAGCACUUGAACUUGAAGUUACUGGUGAUGGCAGGGUUCGAGGACGAAGACAAGGUGACAAACUAUCUAAAGCUAUUCAUGGAACGAGCCGUGGGCUUGAAGAGAAUCGACCUGCGUGGUAAACACCCUUGUGAUGAGUGCAAUGCCAUGGACCUUGAACUUGAGUCCACAAGAUCCCUUGUUGACAAAGCUAGCAGGUAUCGGAUUAAGGAGCGACUCACACAUGAAUUCUCCUUGUCUGUCAAGAUAACAAUAUGUUGA